rnacentral:rRNA from 1 species
UUCAGAGGUCUCAAGCGUUGUUCAGAUUCAUUGGGCGUAAAGGGUGCGUAGGUGGCGUGGUAAGUCGGGUGUGAAAUUUCGGAGCUUAACUCCGAAACUGCAUUCGAUACUGCCGUGCUUGAGGACUGGAGAGGAGACUGGAAUUUACGGUGUAGCAGUGAAAUGCGUAGAGAUCGUAAGGAAGACCAGUGGCGAAGGCGGGUCUCUGGACAGUUCCUGACACUGAGGCACGAAGGCCAGGGGAGCAAACGGG